AAUUCUCAAGCUGGAUGGCUUUAUUGCUGUCUCAGUUUGGUUUUGGGCUUUGCCGUCUCCUCUUCUGGAACGGCUGGCCUUAAAAGUAUUAGCUGACCCUCGUUUGCGAGAUUGGUUCUACUCAGCGUGAUAAUCUUAUGACCGCUGAGGACAUCUUUCGGGAUGGCCAGUCUUGCCUUGGAUCGCUUCUAAUCCUGGCGCUUGGAGUCCGUCUCCGAGCCCGUCAUUUUCAA
rnacentral:misc_RNA from 1 species